UACGUAGGGGGCAAGCGUUGUCCGGAUUUAUUGGGCGUAAGGAGCGUGUAGGCGGCCUGGUAGGUCAGCUGUGAAAACUCGAGGCUCAACCUCGAGACGCCGGUUGAAACCAUCAGGCUAGAGUCCGGAAGAGGAGAGUGGAAUUCCCGGUGUAGCGGUGAAAUGCGCAGAUAUCGGGAAGAACACCCGUGGCUAAGGCGGCUCUCUAGUACGGUACUGACGCUGAGACGCGAAAGCGUGGGGAGCGAACAGG
rnacentral:rRNA from 1 species